AUGGCACCAGAUCCACUGAAUAAUGCUUCAAAUUCUUCCUAUAUGAUACUUCGAGUGUUGUUCUUUCGUUUGGUCCUUGGUCUUCAAGUUGAGUCUUCCCUUUCCAUGGAGAUAAUUGCCUUUUGGUUGUGGCUCCAACAAGGGAAUGGCCAAGUUGGUUACCUUCAGCACAUAUACUCUCUUGGUGACAACCAUUUUCGCGUAAUUGUUUCUUCUGCAAAACGUUUUCUGGAAGUUCUCCAUUUUGCGUUCGGUGGUUCAGAGGCCAGAUCUAUACCAAGAAGUGACUUUCAGAACCAAGCUAUUGAAGGAAUUUCUCUCUACCUCAAUACUAUCUGUUAUGAGGCCUUAGAAGAUCUUCGAGAAAGGAUAGAGAUGAAUUUUGUCCGUAAUCAGAUGACAUACCUGCGCCAAGAAGCCUAUGGACAGUCCAGGACUGAUCGGGUUCCUGCUGCAAGCUCGAUGACGGAUCUAUACCAAGAGGCCUAUGGAGAAUCAUCGCAUGAACAAAUUCCUAAUAUCUCAAAACACCUUCUUACCAAGAUCAAGGCUUUGUAUUCUAAUAAUCCGAAGCAUCAUGGAGAAGGCACAAGUUCUAGAAAUAUCCGUGUUCAAACAAGUCAAAUAUGUCAUGGAGAAGGCUCAAGUUCAAGAAAUAUCCAUCCUCAAACGAGUCGUAUGCUCCACCAUGAUACAGAGGACGAAGUAUAUGAUUAUCAGCCAACCUGCCAUUUGGUCACAUUGCUGGAUAAGUUGAGCUUAAGAGAGAACCAUAAUGAUGCAAUCACGCAACGCCUAUCUGAUGUUCCACCUGAUGAGAGAACUUUGUUCGUGACAUUUUCUAAUGGCUAUCCACUGACCAAGGAUGAACUACACGAAUUUUUUAUGAGGUAUGCCUAUCAUUUCAGGUUUUAUUACAUAUGUAAAUUCACCAUUAUUUGUUAG
rnacentral:rRNA from 1 species